UUUUUAACUGUUUUAGAACUUUUUUUUAAAAAUCACAAAGAAAAUAGGAAAAUCAAAAAGCAAACAAAGAGAAGGGGUAAUGAAAGGUCAGUGAAAAAACACCAGAAGGAAAGUAAAAAAAAAAUCCAACAAAGGCAGGCAAGCAAGGGUGUGUCGCCCCGGACAAAAAGUCAAGAGGGCUAAAAGCUUUCCAUGUUGACGCCAUUACUGUUCCAGACCCCCUAUCAGGAGCAAGAAGUGUGUUCUUGGACGCUUUGUGCCCCUCCUAAUUUGGCUCGCGCUCUCGCAGCAUUCUGCUCAGUGUUAAUGCGAGGUGCAGACGCUGCUGACAGCACGGCCCUUUCAAGCUAAUGGAUGUUACUUGGUGCACUUAUCAGGCGCUUCAGAGCGGUAGACGGCGUGUAGUUAGACGCAUUAGACGCACACACACACACACACACAGGAUUUUGUGUGAUUAGGUUUAGAGGUGUUAGUCAUGUAAAACUGGAGGUAACUCGUUCACUACGUCCAGCAGCUGUGCAGUCAGUGGGUAAUAACAGACAGCUUGUCACACAUCAGCUUUGAACGCCGAUGGUGAACUUCUCAGAAUGCAACAGGAAGGCCCCGGCUGGUUGCUAUAGUAACACCAGAUGUGGUUUCAGGGGUACUUUCUAAUGGAACAAACUGUUACUGUAUUUGUCCGCUUAGAAAAACUUUAAAGCGCUCGUGCUUCGCGUAUAAGCUGCAUGACAGCGGUUACAACCACUCCUACACAGCUGUGCCGAGUCAGAGUGGUAAUCUGCACCACAGGUUCUCACGACCGAAGAGCAAGUAUUGUCACAACGGGACAGAAAUCAGGCUCGGGUUUCCAGGUGAUUGAGGCGGUGAUCCAUCAGAGUCCUGCGUUACCUAAGACAGUGUGUGAUGGAGGUGUUCUGCUCCACGUCCACCGACAGAUCCAGGAAGUCCUCGUCUUUACUGCUCACCUGGAACCCGUGAGAUGAAUUUCUUGGGAGGGAUGACGCCGACCUUCUUCUUCUGCGUGGCGAUGCUGUUGAACAGGUCGGCCAGACAGGUGAGGAGGGACUCCUUACGACGCGGCUGCACCUGGAGGAGGAGGAGGAUACACCUGUCACCACAUAAAGACUUUACAUGGUCUGGUAAUCAUCCCUCUCACACAGACAGUACAGUGCCGUGCUCCUACAUCCCAGCAAUUCCAGGAAUUACUCCGCUUCCUGUCGUCCAGCCUGGGAGCCGUGCGGGAGAGUUGAGUUGUUCGAUUCUUCACAAGGGGGCAGAAUCGGCGGGCGGUGCUUUGUGUCGCUGACGUUACGGGACCUCCUCUGCUGUGUGAGUCAUUUCCAAUUUUACACAACAAACUAAAACGAGUGAUCCACGAAAUUUGGACAGUCCUGACUACGCUGGGUUCGUCAUAGAGAGUUCAAGGGAGAAAAAUAAGAUCGGUGAUUAAGAAAAAAAAAACCCCACCCAGAUGAGUUAUCAAGUGCAACACGAGCACAUUGUCUACACAUAAUAAGCAGAGUGGAACUAGUCAUCAGGCUUCUUGACCGACAAUCUGCCAGUUGCACAACAAAUGUGUCUUUUAUCUUAUCUGAAAACAGGGCAUAUGUAUUUUUGUAUUAGCAUUAGCAUUAGCUAAUGCUACCACUGUGUCUUCCUUCUCUCUGUCAUAAUUUCUCUCUUUUUGGAGAUUUGUGACCCUUAAAUUCUGAGCUUCAGCUAUAUAUUUAUAAAUAUUAUAUUCUUUUUUUAACCAAGGCAAUUGUGUGCAAUGUUUGAAUACUAUGGAGGGCUUUUUCCACUGCUAAAAGAAAAAGGAUGAAAAUUACAAAAGCUAAUAAC